rnacentral:rRNA from 1 species
GGCACUUGUCUCGACACAACACCCGGUGAAAUUGUAGUACUACGUGAAGAUGCGAGUUACCCGCACACGACGGAAAUACCCCGUAAGCUUAACUGUAGUCUGGCAUGGAUUUCGAUAUGUCAUGUACAGGAUAGGUGGGAGGCUGAGAAGUUGUUGCGUCAGCAUAGCUGGAGCCGAUGUUGGGAUACCACCCCUGAGAUAUUGAAUUCUACAAAGUCUGUGAAACCAGUCUUCGGACAGUGUCAGAUGGGCGUUUGACUGGGCGGUGCCCCUCCUAAAAUGUAUCGGAGACGCCUAUUACCCUCAUGAUGGUUGGAAUCAUCAAUAAGAGUGCAAAGGCAAGGGUGAUUGACUCGAGACAGACAUGUCAGCAGGACGAAAGUCGAGCUUAGUGAUCCGGUGGUACCGAGUGAGGGAGGCCAUCUCUACACGGAUAAGCUACCUCGGAAUAACAGCUUAUCUCCCCCAAAGUCCAACUCGACGGGGAGGUUUGGCACCCUCGAUGUCGGCUCGUCUCAUCCUGGCUAGCAGGUCCCAAGGGUUGGGCUUUUCGCCCAUUAAAGAGGCACGCGAGCUGGGUUUCAGAACGUCGUGAGACAUUUCGGUCCCUAUCGUCGUGGGCGUUAGAAUUUUGAGAACUGUUCCUAUACGAGAGUACCGGAACACGGACCUCUGGUGCAGACCGGUUGUUCCGCCAGGAGCACAGCCGGGUAGCCAAGUCCGGGAGAGAUAAUUGCUGAAAGCAUCUAAGCACGAAGCCCCCCUUAAGAUAAGAUAUCUCAUCCCUUAAAGGGAGUAAGGCCACUGAUAGACGAUCAGGUGAUAGGCUGGAGGUGAAAGCACAGCAAUGUGUUCAGCUGACCAGUACUAAUCGGCCGAGGUCUUGAUCCAAG